rnacentral:siRNA from 1 species
GCGUAGAUCGAAGAUGUGAGUGUA